UUACAAUGGAGAGUUUGAUCCUGGCUCAGGAUGAACGCUAGCGGCAGGCCUAAUACAUGCAAGUCGG
rnacentral:rRNA from 1 species